CACGUAGGGCGCGAGCGUUGUCCGGAAUUAUUGGGCGUAAAGAGCUCGUAGGCGGUCUGUCGCGUCGGAUGUAGAAAAUCCGAGGGCUCCAACCCUGGACCUGCAUUCGAUACGGGCAGACUAGAGUUCGGUAGGGGAGACGUGGAAUUCCUGGUGUAGCGGUGAAAUGCGCAGAUAUCAGGAGGAACACCGAUGGCGAAGGCAGGUCUCUGGGCAUUAACUGACGCUGAGGAGCGAAAGCAUGGGGAGCGAACAGG
rnacentral:rRNA from 1 species